AUCUACGACCAUACCACCUGAAUAUGUCUGAUCUCAGAAGCUAAGCAGAGUUGGGCCUGGUUAGUACUUAGAUAGGAAACAGUUGUGACAACCGAUAGGGUUCUGGUCC
rnacentral:rRNA from 1 species